UUGCAUAUGGCCACAUUAAACAAAAAAUCAGUCUCAUUAGAUGUCAGUUGAAUGAAUAAAUGAAUGAAAAUACCAAUAUUUGUGAGUAUAAUAGGACUUCGGAAUACUGAGUCAGAUUCACUUGAAUAAACAAGCUAUUUCAUUUUGCCUGUGGUGGGUGGGCCUAUCCGGGUGCAGUAAGAGCAGUGUCUCCUACACUAAAUGACCCCAGGCGAAGCGUGUUUAAGCCUCUGCUUGUUUUUCCUUCUCCAUCAGUGACAGCCUUCGCUUCUCAUUUUUGCUUCCGCCAAUUUGCCUCAUGUCUUUCAGACUGUCACCAAAACUGUCUAAUUUGCUGAUUCUCAUCUGCGCUGGGCCGAGAAAUUAUGGUAAAAAGCUUCAGGAUACUGAUUUACCUCAUCUAUUUCAGCGUCUCAGAGCACUUACAUGCUUUAGUUCAUGUAUUCGCUAUGUGAAAAAGACCUCUGGCUGGAAGACUUGUCUCCCGUGGGCAAGACAGUUCCACUCUGAGCACACCACGUAAAGAACAGGAACGACAACAAUGGCAACUCCAUAACUAAUGCUUCUGGUCUGGAAAACCUUCUCCCUGAAGGACACGUCUCACCCGCCAGGGAUGAUCUCAACUGCCUCUGGUGAGAAAGGCCCUCUACUCAGCGAGAUGGACUUGCUGGUGAGCUUCCUUUCCAAUGGACCUGAAAGAUUCAUGGCAUCGUGGAAAAAUAAUCCAACCCUUGGGCUGAAGCGAACAGCCUUGUGUGAUUGGUUUGUGAUGGUCUGAGACAAGCCGACAGGUUCUAGAAUUAUAAUUGCUUUGUUCCAAUCUUAACUUGCUAGGAAGGGGGGUGGCUUGAAUAUCCAGAGGACUUGGUUUCAGAAAGAAUUAGGAGCAGAUAAAAGCCAUUGCACUUACUUUAAAAAAAGAAAGAGAAAACUGACCCUGGUACUGUUGCCUUUCAUCAAGCAACCAGGCAUCAUGCUCUGCCUUCUUUCUACAAAGCAUAGGAAGAGGACUGUCUGAGCAAAGGGAAGAUGGAGGACCUGCACCUGUCCUGUAAAAAUCGAUGCCCCAUUGGGUGAGUGAGGCAGAUGCCUCAGUCCUCUCUCUCCUCUCCCUGCAAUGGAGGCUUCUCCAGGUGAGCAAGCUAGUUGUCAAUGGAGCUGGCAGGAAGGGUUCGGUUGGGGCAACAGGAAGUGGGCAGAAUCAGAGCCUCUCCCUCUCCCCCACUCAGAUCCCAUGUUGAACCAACAGCCCCCCUUUCCCUUUUUUCCUCAUUUCCCUUUCUCCUCAAGGAAUUUCCCACCAGUUGGAGAGCAAGGACAUCAGCUGUCACACUGAUGAGAGAAGCUGCACUUUUGCCCUUGGCUGUGGCCGUGUCUUUGCCUGUAGAACCCACUAGUGCUGUAGGGCCUGCAGCAGCUGCUGUGACGAUGUCCGGCCAAAGGCCCCCCGCUGCUGUCCUGUUCUCCUCUUCUUCCUUAAUGUCUGAUCACAGACUCCUCAAGAAAAACCUCUUGCUGCUUCCUGGCCUCGGAGCUCAAAUAUCUAGAUCACUAGGUAUCAGAAGAGCUGGUCUUGGGCCUUUUGAGGACUACUGAUUGUAUUAGACGUUCUGAUGAAGAACAGAACUAAAACGAAAAAGGCAGCAACCCAGGAAAAGAACAGACACUUAGAGAUGGCGUCACUGGGAGACUGUUUUUCCAAAAAUCAAUUCUUCAGAAAACUCGCUGCUUUGUGUGGAGUAACUUCCCUGGCACCACAGACAGCCACCUCUGAAAUGAGUUCUCCCAAUGUAUCCCGUUCCUUCUGUGCAUGAAAAACAAUAGAGGGCUGAGCAGGUUUGAUGGGAAAGUAUCUGCAUGGAGAAAAUGACCCAGAGCAGAGAUAUAUGUUUUGUAGGUGAAUAUUCUUAUUAUACAAGAGCCAUGGAAGAGAAAGCCUGUUUCUGAAACCUGGGCUGAUUUGGCUCAGUGGUUGAGCAUCAAUCUAUGAACCAGGAGGUUUUGGUUCAAUUCCUGGUCAGGGUACAUGCCCAGGUUGUGGGCUCUAUCCCCAGUAGGGAGUGUGCAGGAGGCAG